CAAAUAUGAAAAGAGACACAUAUUUUAGAUGAAACAAACCACACGGAUUAAAGCCUGGAAGCAGGGAAAUCAACUGCGCAGAUUACCAAGAUCGCGACAGCAUCCUCUUACCACUACUCCGGAAUCUUCACGAACAUCGUCCAGCAGAUCGUUCAACUUCUGAAGCCUCUUCGAUCACCUCGGACAAAGCUACUCUAUCCGCACAAGCAUCCUCGAUCAGCCCCGACAACGAAGCUCGAGAAGCCGAAUCGAAGCGGCAAAAGGAAGAAACAGAUAGCAGCAAAGGGAAAAUCCACGCUUACCC